rnacentral:rRNA from 1 species
AAUGCUUUGGGGUGGGGUGACUGCGUACCUUUUGUAUAAUGGGUCAGCGACUUAUAUUCUGUAGCAAGGUUAACCGAAUAGGGGAGCCGGAGGGAAACCGAGUCUUAAUUGGGCGUUAAGUUGCAGGGUAUAGACCCGAAACCCGGUGAUCUAGCCAUGGGCAGGUUGAAGGUUGGGUAACACUAACUGGAGGACCGAACCGACUAAUGUUGAAAAAUUAGCGGAUGACCUGUGGCUGGGGGUGAAAGGCCAAUCAAACCGGGAGAUAGCUGGUUCUCCCCGAAAGCUAUUUAGGUAGCGCCUCGUGAAUUCAUCUCCGGGGGUAGAGCACUGUUUCGGCUAGGGGGCCAUCCCGGCUUACCAACCCGAUGCAAACUGCGAAUACCGGAGAAUGUUAUCACGGGAGACACACGGCGGGUGCUAACGUCCGUCGUGAAGAGGGAAACAACCCAGACCGCCAGCUAAGGUCCCAAAGUCAUGGUUAAGUGGGAAACGAUGUGGGAAGGCCCAGACAGCCAGGAUGUUGGCUUAGAAGCAGCCAUCAUUUAAAGAAAGCGUAAUAGCUCACUGGUCGAGUCGGCCUGCGCGGAAGAUGUAACGGGGCUAAACCAUGCACCGAAGCUGCGGCAGCGAACGUAUCACCCAAGACAACUUUACGGAGUUGACGAUUGACGGAGCGAAGCGACGUCAAAGCGUUCAUUAAAGUCGAGUUGGCUUAGGGAUACGUUCGUUGGGUAGGGGAGCGUUCUGUAAGCCUGUGAAGGUGUGUCGUGAGGCAUGCUGGAGGUAUCAGAAGUGCGAAUGCUGACAUAAGUAACGAUAAAGCGGGUGAAAAGCCCGCUCGCCGGAAGACCAAGGGUUCCUGUCCAACGUUAAUCGGGGCAGGGUGAGUCGACCCCUAAGGCGAGGCCGAAAGGCGUAGUCGAUGGGAAACGGGUUA